GCUCUGGUGGUCUAGUAGAAUGAUACGUGCUUUGGGUUCAUCGGUGUUCAACAUCGUAAUUCGAUUGCACGGGGUCCCGGGUUCAAAUCCCGGCCAGGGUC